GACGGGGGGGGCAAGUGUUCUUCGGAAUUACUGGGCGUAAAGCGUGCGCAGGCGGUUAUGCAAGACAGAUGUGAAAUCCCCGGGCUUAACCUGGGAACUGCAUUUGUGACUGCAUAGCUAGAGUACGGUAGAGGGGGAUGGAAUUCCGCGUGUAGCAGUGAAAUGCGUAGAUAUGCGGAGGGACACCGAUGGCGAAGGCAGUCCCCUGGACCUGUACUGACGCUCAUGCACGAAAGCGUGGGGAGCAAACAGG
rnacentral:rRNA from 1 species